CAGGACGGGACCGGCCGUCCAAUUGCUGACAAGAAAAUGAAAGGGUAGGAAUGGGAAUGUAUCCAAUCAGCGUCGACGUUGUUUCAGAAGCAUGAUGGGCGAUAGAGCUACCGCCAAAGGAUUCGUUGGUGUUCGGUAGAACUCGGCAGAGUCGUUUUUGGUCGUGACGCAGAUGUAACAUGGACGCUGCCGGUGACUACAACCAGCAUGGAUACCGGAUCUCAGCAGCCAUGAAUUCAGUUCGGUCUCUUCUCCAGUAUCCGUUCGAGAGGAGAACUAUGGUGGAAAAACUUAAUGUCAAAGAGCUUGGACCAGAUCAGCCCGACGUAAAGAUAAGCCAGCAGGACAAGGAGAGAGGUAAACUGUACACACGAGGCUUCUCCCAAAAUUGGUACACCAGGAAGGCUUGGCUAGCUGGAUGCAAUCACGCUAAUGCUUUAUUUUGCUUUCCGUGUUUGUUAUUCAAAACGGCUGGGACAGAUAAGGCAUGGAUGAGUCAGGAGUUACAGACCUGAAACAUUUUUCUGAGAAGGUGAAGAAACACGAGUCAUCCCGGGCACACAUGGACAACAACACGGUGAAGCUAGCCAUGCUAGGCGGAGCUAACAUUGCCAUGCAGGGAACAACAGCAGCUGGGUGCAGAGAGGAUUAAGACUUUCCUGAGGAACACCAUGACACAGGAUGGGCUGAAUGCUCUUGCCAUGCUCUCCAUGGAAAAAAAAGCUUGUCACAAACAUUCCUGACUUCAAUAAAAAGCUCAUCGAGAGCUUUGCCACUCAGAAGGACAGAAGGGCAAAAUUUCUGUACAAAUGAGGUAUCACACACACACACACACACACACACACACACACACACACACACACACACACACACACACACACACACACACACACACACACACACACACACACACAUGCAUCCACUUGAUCUUUGUAUAAAGUUGACCUUGGCACAACACUCCAGAAAUAUUUAACAGUGUAAAUUUCUGGCAUUUUGUCUAAGUAGUGUUUACUACCAUUACUGUAACAGUGACCUGCUCGUAAUUUUUCGUGUUCACUCAAAUGUUGAAAUUAAACAAAAUGUUUUUGUUA